CCGGCGACCGGCGCACGGGUGAGUAACACGUAUGCAACCUGGCCGUGACAGAUGGAUAACCGGGAGAAAUCCCGCCUAAUACAACAUAAUGCCGGGAGGGGACAUCCCCUGCCGGUCAAAGGGGGCGACCCCGGUCAUGGAUGGGCAUGCGGCGCAUUAGGUAGUUGGUGGGGCAACGGCCCACCAAGCCGACGAUGCGUAGGGGUUCUGAGAGGAAGGUCCCCCACACUGGUACUGAGACACGGACCAGACUCCUACGGAAGGCAGCAG
rnacentral:rRNA from 1 species